UCCCUUUAAAGGUAAUGAUCGUGGCCAAAGCCCAAUCGAAAAAAGCAACAAAUGUUUAUUUCUCUCUAUCUCUUUGCUACGAAAAAUUCAAGAAAAAAGCACAAUAAAGAUUCACCUCCUCCAAAUCGAAACAGAUUUGCAUGUGGUGUCGAUAACUUUCGAAAAUUUAAUCCGAUGAGAUUCUGAUUAUCUUGCUAUGGCGGUGACAUGAUUCGAUUAGCUUAUCAACCACUAAGAUUAAAGAAUCGUUGAGUUUAUUAAUAUUGUCUACUCUAGGAUCAUAUUAAAACGAAGCGAGGUAUAUUUCAUUCAACUACUCACGACGUCUUUCAUAUAUACGCUACUUACUAAAGCGAGGUAUAUUUGACUCAUAUAAUAUUUAACUACCCAAUUCCAUUUUUGUUUCAGUAAGAUGUGUGUGUGUGUGUGUGUGUGUGUGUGUGUGUGUGUGUGUGUGUUUUUGGUGCAAUCAGUAAGAUGCGUUGUGUUCUUACUUCUUAUGGAUGUGUCCAAGUUGUUUACAUAUGAUAACAGAGGAUUCUCCUGAUAGCUGAAGUUACAAAAAGAGAAGAAGAUAUUUUUUUACCAAAGCUAAGUAUUCUAUCCAGAAAAUAUAUUAUGUUUCUUAUUGUGGAAUUAUUAUUUUCAGACAAUUUAGGCUCUACAAUAAAAAUUCAGAAGCUAAUUUAGAUGUAUUUACAUGUAAUUUAGGCUCUAAUAAUUCAGAAGCUAAUUUUAAUUUAUAUAAAUAAAAUACAAUAAAGUCUGUUAAGAUAAGUAGAUCUCAAGUCUAUCUUUAUAAAGUUUGUAUAAUAUAUUGUUCAAUGAACCUUGUAAAAUAAUGAUUUGUUCUUCACUGAACAUAUGUUUAUGUUCGUAAAACUACUGAAAGACAUAACUUCAAACUAACAUUUUUUCUUGUUUAGUAAAACAGGAUCGCCAUACCUUUCCAGACACUAUUCAGUAUUGGUUCUGUUUUAAGAAGAAGCUCUUUUCAACUAACAACUGAGAAAAUAAUCUUAACAGCUUUCACUUGGAUCCACCAAUUCGUUUUGCAAGGUUUCACUUCGGAGAGGUAUAUGAUAACUUCUCUGUAAGCUUCAUGUUUUCUAUGUAGCUAUUGGUAUUUUGUGUUAGCUGCCACCUCUGCCAAUUACGGUGUAUAUAUAGCACUGGAAAAUAAUGUUAAACAGGUCACGGGGAUAUUCAAUAAUAUUUUCCUAGCGAA